rnacentral:rRNA from 1 species
CCCUUAGAUGUUCUGGGCCGCACGCGCGCUACACUGACGAAUGCAACGAGCUUAUAACCUUGGCCGAAAGGUCUGGGUAAUCUCCAAAUUUCGUCGUGAUGGGGAUAGAUUAUUGCAAUUAUUAAUCUUCAACGAGGAAUGCCUAGUAAGCGCAAGUCAUCAGCUUGCGUUGAUUACGUCCCUGCCCUUUGUACACACCGCCCGUCGUUCCUACCGAUUGAAUGGUCCGGUGAAGCGUUCGGACCGUGGCCUUUGGACGGUUCGCCGUCUGUUGGCUGCGGGAAGUUCGUUAAACCUUAUCAUUUAGAGGAAGGAGAAGUCGUAACA